rnacentral:rRNA from 1 species
UACGGAGGGUGCAAGCGUUAUCCGGAUUCACUGGGUUUAAAGGGUGCGUAGGCGGGUAGGUAAGUCAGUGGUGAAAUCCUGGAGCUCAACUCCAGAACUGCCAUUGAUACUAUCUAUCUUGAAUAUUGUGGAGGUAAGCGGAAUAUGUCAUGUAGCGGUGAAAUGCUUAGAUAUGACAUAGAACACCCAUUGCGAAGGCAGCUUACUACGCAUAUAUUGACGCUGAGGCACGAAAGCGUGGGGAUCAAACAGG